rnacentral:rRNA from 1 species
UACGAAGGGGGCUAGCGUUGCUCGGAAUCACUGGGCGUAAAGCGCACGUAGGCGGGUCGCUAAGUCGGGGGUGAAAUCCUGGAGCUCAACUCCAGAACUGCCUUCGAUACUGGCGACCUUCGAGUCCGGGAGAGGUGAGUGGAACUCCGAGUGUAGAGGUGAAAUUCGUAGAUAUUCGGAAGAACACCAGUGGCGAAGGCGGCUCACUGGCCCGGUACUGACGCUGAGGUGCGAAAGCGUGGGGAGCAAACAGG